ACUCCUACGGGAGGCAGCAGUAGGGAAUCUUCCACAAUGGACGCAAGUCUGAUGGAGCAACGCCGCGUGAGUGAAGAAGGGUUUCGGCUCGUAAAGCUCUGUUGUUAAAGAAGAACGUGGGUGAGAGUAACUGUUCACCCAGUGACGGUAUUUAACCAGAAAGCCACGGCUAACUACGUGCCAGCAGCCGCGGUAAUA
rnacentral:rRNA from 1 species